AGAGAGAUCACUUUGUAAUCUCUUGGCAUACCUCUUGUGGUGAUUGGCGAUUUCAAUUGCAUUUUGAAUGCAGAAGAUAAAAAGUGGGGUAGACCUUUUUGAUUGGAUAGGGACAUUAGAGAGUUCAGGGCAUUCUUCAACAUACUGGUCUUUUUGAUCUAUGUUUCCAAGGUCCCCAAUAUACUUGGUGCAAUAACCAGCAAGGCUUGGCCAGGGUUUGGGAGAGGUUGGAUCAGGCAUUCGCAUUGGAUGCAUGGUUGGAUAUGUUUCCGAAUUCCAUGGUUAACCUAUCAAUCUUGCUAAAUCAUAUAUUGUGUUCAGCCCAUCUACACCAAGCACCUAGAAGGGCCAGAUAAAGACCAUUCAAAAACAGGAGAGAGCAGGCACUUGUAAAUACUUGGGAAUACUUCUCUCAGGUAUGAAACCAGCAGUUUCUGAUGUUAAUUUUCUAAUGGAUAAGGUGCAGGCAUGGAUUGCGAGUUGGAAAUGGAAGGCUCUAUCAUUAGCAGCUGGUAGAGCAACCUUGCUCCAAUCCAUGUUGGCAUCUAUUCCAUUGUAUUGUAUGUCAUGUAUUCCAGUGCCUUUGUCAAUUUUGAAAAAAAAAUUGGAUCGGGAUUUUCGAGUGUUUUUGGGUGGACAUGCAAAUGAUCAACAAGGGCUCCAUCUAAUUUCUUGGUCUCAUGUGUGCUUGCCUAAAGAUGCUGGAGGCUGAGGCUUGCAGCCCUUACAUAUUAGGAGGCAAUCCUUGCUGUGUAAACUUGCUGCUCGUUUGAUUGUUCACUCGAAGUCCUUAUGGGCCCAAGUAAGCACAGCCGAAAGGUUGUUCUACUAUAUGGCCGUCCAUUGCUAAAGUCGGCCCUAUGGUUCAAUAUCAGUUUGUCUGGUAUAUUAGAAAUGGUUCUUCUAUUAAUAUUUUGCAUGCCUCUUGGAUCCAACCUAGACCUUUAAGUGCUUGACCUUGGCCAACUUAUUUAAAUAUGGAUGUGGAUAAGCUUAUAUCUGAUGAUGGCUGUUGCUGCUCACAAGAAUUAAGGGGCCUAUUUUCUGCCGAGAAGAGGACCCAUAUUGAAAGCAUUCCUAUUUCUUAUGUGCGGUGGUCUGAUCAGCUGUGUUUGGGAAGGAAUAGGGUUGUUCAUGUAUCGGUUAAAGAUAUGUAUUGUGUAUUGCCUCAGUCCCAUGCUAUAGACUCAGCAAAUAAAUGUGGAUGGAUUUAGCUUGUGGAGGUACCCAUGAGGGUGAAAAUCUUGUGAUGGCACCUUUAUUGGCGCAAAUUGCCUUAUAAUCAAGUGUUGCACUUGCCUCGUGAUGUUCAGGGUUGUGAUCUAUGUCCUCAGUGUUUAAAUAUUUGGAGAAGAGGAAGACAAAAGAAGAAAAAAAAGAAAGAGCGAAAAGUGAUUUA